UACGAAGGGGGCUAGCGUUGCUCGGAAUCACUGGGCGUAAAGGGUGCGUAGGCGGGUCUUUAAGUCAGGGGUGAAAUCCUGGAGCUCAACUCCAGAACUGCCUUUGAUACUGAAGAUCUUGAGUUCGGGAGAGGUGAGUGGAACUGCGAGUGUAGAGGUGAAAUUCGUAGAUAUUCGGAAGAACACCGGUGGCGAAGGCGGCAUCCUGGACCGGUAUUGACGCUGAGGCGCGAAAGCCAGGGGAGCAAACGGG
rnacentral:rRNA from 1 species